AAUUUUAUGAAUUCGUCAAGAUAAUGCGUAGUUUUGAUAGGAAAUCGAUGGUUCGCAUUCAAAAACCAAUUUAUGAGAAAAAAAAACAUUUUGUAAAAAAUUAAUCAACACAAUAUUUAAAACUAGGAAUUUCUGUAACGGCGCUGCGAAAUAGUAAUUUAUACAAUCGAGGGAUAAAUGCUUUUUUAGGCAAUGAUGUGAUUGUCACUCGAGACCGCAGGUCAAGUGUGACAAUACACAUCGUGUGCCUAAAAAAUCAUUUAUCUCAGAGUUGUAUACAACUUUUUUCGCAAUAAAGGCAACGGAAGCAAGGCUGUCCUACUUUUCGUCACUUGUUGCGAAAACGUGAAUUUUCAUU